rnacentral:rRNA from 1 species
UGCAUCGAUGAAGAACGCAGCGAAAUGCGAUACUUGGUGUGAAUUGCAGAAUCCCGUGAACCAUCGAGUCUUUGAACGCAAGUUGCGCCCGAAGCCAUUAGGCCGAGGGCACGUCUGCCUGGGCGUCACG